rnacentral:rRNA from 1 species
GUGGGGAAUUUUGGACAAUGGGCGCAAGCCUGAUCCAGCAAUGCCGCGUGUGUGAAGAAGGCCUUCGGGUUGUAAAGCACUUUUGUCCGGAAAGAAAUCUCCUGGGUUAAUACCUCGGGGGGAUGACGGUACCGGAAGAAUAAGCACCGGCUAACUACGUGCCAGCAGCCGCGGUAAUACGUAGGGUGCGAGCGUUAAUCGGAAUUACUGGGCGUAAAGCGUGCGCAGGCGGCUAUGCAAGACAGAUGUGAAAUCCCCGGGCUCAACCUGGGAACUGCAUUUGUGACUGGAUGGCUAGAGUGCGUCAGAGGGAGGUGGAAUUCCGCGUGUAGCAGUGAAAGGCGUAGAGAUGCGGAGGAACACCGAUGGCGAAGGCAGCCUCCUGGGAUGACACUGACGCUCAUGCACGAAAGCGUGGGGAGCAAACAGGAUUAGAUACCCGGGUAGUCC